GGUUAAGCGACUAAGCGUACACGGUGGAUGCCCUGGCAGUCAGAGGCGAUGAAGGACGUGCUAAUCUGCGAUAAGCGUCGGUAAGGUGAUAUGAACCGUUAUAACCGGCGAUUUCCGAAUGGGGAAACCCAGUGUGUUUCGACACACUAUCAUUAACUGAAUCCAUAGGUUAAUGAGGCGAACCGGGGGAACUGAAACAUCUAAGUACCCCGAGGAAAAGAAAUCAACCGAGAUUCCCCCAGUAGCGGCGAGCGAACGGGGAGCAGCCCAGAGCCUGAAUCAGUGUGUGUGUUAGUGGAAGCGUCUGGAAAGGCGCGCGAUACAGGGUGACAGCCCCGUACACAAAAAUGCACAUACUGUGAGCUCGAUGAGUAGGGCGGGACACGUGGUAUCCUGUCUGAAUAUGGGGGGACCAUCCUCCAAGGCUAAAUACUCCUGACUGACCGAUAGUGAACCAGUACCGUGAGGGAAAGGCGAAAAGAACCCCGGCGAGGGGAGUGAAAAAGAACCUGAAACCGUGUACGUACAAGCAGUGGGAGCACGCUUAGGCGUGUGACUGCGUACCUUUUGUAUAAUGGGUCAGCGACUUAUAUUCUGUAGCAAGGUUAACCGAAUAGGGGAGCCGAAGGGAAACCGAGUCUUAACUGGGCGUUAAGUUGCAGGGUAUAGACCCGAAACCCGGUGAUCUAGCCAUGGGCAGGUUGAAGGUUGGGUAACACUAACUGGAGGACCGAACCGACUAAUGUUGAAAAAUUAGCGGAUGACUUGUGGCUGGGGGUGAAAGGCCAAUCAAACCGGGAGAUAGCUGGUUCUCCCCGAAAGCUAUUUAGGUAGCGCCUCGUGAAUUCAUCUCCGGGGGUAGAGCACUGUUUCGGCAAGGGGGUCAUCCCGACUUACCAACCCGAUGCAAACUGCGAAUACCGGAGAAUGUUAUCACGGGAGACACACGGCGGGUGCUAACGUCCGUCGUGAAGAGGGAAACAACCCAGACCGCCAGCUAAGGUCCCAAAGUCAUGGUUAAGUGGGAAACGAUGUGGGAAGGCCCAGACAGCCAGGAUGUUGGCUUAGAAGCAGCCAUCAUUUAAAGAAAGCGUAAUAGCUCACUGGUCGAGUCGGCCUGCGCGGAAGAUGUAACGGGGCUAAACCAUGCACCGAAGCUGCGGCAGCGACGCUUAUGCGUUGUUGGGUAGGGGAGCGUUCUGUAAGCCUGCGAAGGUGUGCUGUGAGGCAUGCUGGAGGUAUCAGAAGUGCGAAUGCUGACAUAAGUAACGAUAAAGCGGGUGAAAAGCCCGCUCGCCGGAAGACCAAGGGUUCCUGUCCAACGUUAAUCGGGGCAGGGUGAGUCGACCCCUAAGGCGAGGCCGAAAGGCGUAGUCGAUGGGAAACAGGUUAAUAUUCCUGUACUUGGUGUUACUGCGAAGGGGGGACGGAGAAGGCUAUGUUGGCCGGGCGACGGUUGUCCCGGUUUAAGCGUGUAGGCUGGUUUUCCAGGCAAAUCCGGAAAAUCAAGGCUGAGGCGUGAUGACGAGGCACUACGGUGCUGAAGCAACAAAUGCCCUGCUUCCAGGAAAAGCCUCUAAGCAUCAGGUAACAUCAAAUCGUACCCCAAACCGACACAGGUGGUCAGGUAGAGAAUACCAAGGCGCUUGAGAGAACUCGGGUGAAGGAACUAGGCAAAAUGGUGCCGUAACUUCGGGAGAAGGCACGCUGAUAUGUAGGUGAAGUCCCUCGCGGAUGGAGCUGAAAUCAGUCGAAGAUACCAGCUGGCUGCAACUGUUUAUUAAAAACACAGCACUGUGCAAACACGAAAGUGGACGUAUACGGUGUGACGCCUGCCCGGUGCCGGAAGGUUAAUUGAUGGGGUCAGCGCAAGCGAAGCUCUUGAUCGAAGCCCCGGUAAACGGCGGCCGUAACUAUAACGGUCCUAAGGUAGCGAAAUUCCUUGUCGGGUAAGUUCCGACCUGCACGAAUGGCGUAAUGAUGGCCAGGCUGUCUCCACCCGAGACUCAGUGAAAUUGAACUCGCUGUGAAGAUGCAGUGUACCCGCGGCAAGACGGAAAGACCCCGUGAACCUUUACUAUAGCUUGACACUGAACAUUGAGCCUUGAUGUGUAGGAUAGGUGGGAGGCUUUGAAGUGUGGACGCCAGUCUGCAUGGAGCGGCCUUGAAAUACCACCCUUUAAUGUUUGAUGUUCUAACGUUGACCCGUAAUCCGGGUUGCGGACAGUGUCUGGUGGGUAGUUUGACUGGGGCGGUCUCCUCCUAAAGAGUAACGGAGGAGCACGAAGGUUGGCUAAUCCUGGUCGGACAUCAGGAGGUUAGUGCAAUGGCAUAAGCCAGCUUGACUGCGAGCGUGACGGCGCGAGCAGGUGCGAAAGCAGGUCAUAGUGAUCCGGUGGUUCUGAAUGGAAGGGCCAUCGCUCAACGGAUAAAAGGUACUCCGGGGAUAACAGGCUGAUACCGCCCAAGAGUUCAUAUCGACGGCGGUGUUUGGCACCUCGAUGUCGGCUCAUCACAUCCUGGGGCUGAAGUAGGUCCCAAGGGUAUGGCUGUUCGCCAUUUAAAGUGGUACGCGAGCUGGGUUUAGAACGUCGUGAGACAGUUCGGUCCCUAUCUGCCGUGGGCGCUGGAGAACUGAGGGGGGCUGCUCCUAGUACGAGAGGACCGGAGUGGACGCAUCACUGGUGUUCGGGUUGUCAUGCCAAUGGCACUGCCCGGUAGCUAAAUGCGGAAGAGAUAAGUGCUGAAAGCAUCUAAGCACGAAACUUGCCCCGAGAUGAGUUCUCCCUGACUCCUUGAGAGUCCUGAAGGAACGUUGAAGACGACGACGUUGAUAGGCCGGGUGUGUAAGCGCAGCGAUGCGUUGAGCUAACCGGUACUAAUGAACCGUGAGGCUUAACCUU
rnacentral:rRNA from 1 species